rnacentral:rRNA from 1 species
AACAAGGAUUCCCCUAGUAACUGCGAGUGAAGCGGGAAGAGCUCAAAUUUUGAAUCUGGCGGUCCUCGUGGUCGUCCGAGUUGUAAUCUAGAGAAGCGUUUUCCGCGCUGGACCGUGUACAAGUCUCCUGGAACGGAGCGUCAUAGAGGGUGAGAAUCCCGUCUCUGACACGGACUACCAGGGCUUUUGUGAUGCGCUCUCGACGAGUCGAGUUGUUUGGGAAUGCAGCUCAAAUUGGGUGGUAAAUUCCAUCUAAAGCUAAAUACAGGCGAGAGACCGAUAGCGAACAAGUACCGUGAGGGAAAGAUGAAAAGGACUUUGGAAAGAGAGUUAAACAGUACGUGAAAUUGCUGAAAGGGAAACGCUUGAAGUCAGUCGCGUUGGCCGGGGAUCAGCCUUGCAAUCUUGUUGGGUGCAUUUCCUGGUUGACGGGUCAGCAUCAAUUUUGACCGUCGGAGAAGGGUCGAGGGAAUGUGGCAUCCUYCGGGGUGUGUUAUAGCCUUUGAUCGUAUGCGACGGUUGGGAUUGAGGAACUCAGCAUGACCCCUCGUGGGUUUGGGGCUUCGGCUCACAUCCAUGCUUAGGAUGCUGGCAUAAUGGCUUUAAGCGACCCGUCUUGAAACACGGACCAAGGAGUCUAACAUGCCCGCGAGUGUUUGGGUGUUUAAAACCCGAGCGCGUAAUGAAAGUGAAAGUUGAGACCUCUGUCGUGGAGGGCAUCGACGCCCGGACCAGAACUUUUGUGACGGCCCUGCGGUAGAGCGUGUAUGUUGGGACCCGAAAGAUGGUGAACUAUGCCUGAAUAGGGUGAAGCCAGAGGAAACUCUGGUGGAGGCUCGUAGCGAUUCUGACGUGCAAAUCGAUCGUCGAAUUUGGG